AAAAUGACAUUUCAUAUCCAUCAAUUGUAUAUUUUGGUAGUUUUAUGCAUUUCUUCGAUCUUGGUUUCUGGAUUCAAUACUAAUUUGGAGAGUCCAAUGGGAAAGCUUUUUACAAAAGGCUGCUUAAUUGGUGAACCGGGACCUCCACAAGUUUGCUGCAUAUCACAAUGCCCUACAAAAGAUUGUGCCUCAGAUUGCAAUGCCAAAGGAUUUACUAAAGGUGGAUUAUGUACACCUAUACAUGGACUAGAUAUGUGUUGUUGUAUAAAGUCAUAAAGCUAUUGUAUCAUUGAAAUUAGAAAAAAUAAUAAAAGAUGUAGAAGUUGUAUUAGAACUAAGCAUUCUAUGGUUGUGGUGGAAUGAAAAAGAAGAUCAAAUAAGAAAGAUGAAUUUUUAUUUA